rnacentral:misc_RNA from 1 species
UGGAAGUAAAAGUCGUAACAAGGUUUCCGUAGGUGAACCUGCGGAAGGAUCAUUACCGAGUGAGGGCCCUCUGGGUCCAACCUCCCACCCGUGUUUAUUUUACCUUGUUGCUUCGGCGGGCCCGCCUUAACUGGCCGCCGGGGGGCUUACGCCCCCGGGCCCGCGCCCGCCGAAGACACCCUCGAACUCUGUCUGAAGAUUGAAGUCUGAGUGAAAAUAUAAAUUAUUUAAAACUUUCAACAACGGAUCUCUUGGUUCCGGCAUCGAUGAAGAACGCAGCGAAAUGCGAUACGUAAUGUGAAUUGCAAAUUCAGUGAAUCAUCGAGUCUUUGAACGCACAUUGCGCCCCCUGGUAUUCCGGGGGGCAUGCCUGUCCGAGCGUCAUUGCUGCCCUCAAGCCCGGCUUGUGUGUUGGGCCCCGUCCCCCGAUCUCCGGGGGACGGGCCCGAAAGGCAGCGGCGGCACCGCGUCCGGUCCUCGAGCGUAUGGGGCUUUGUCACCCGCUCUGUAGGCCCGGCCGGCGCUUGCCGAUCAACCCAAAUUUUUAUCCAGGUUGACCUCGGAUCAGGUAGGGAUACCCGCUGAACUUAAGCAUAUCAAUAAGCGGAGGAA